AGGACGAACGCUGGCGGCAUGCCUAACACAUGCAAGUCGAACGGAGUUCGAGGGGCUUGCUCCUUGAACUUAGUGGCGGACGGGUGAGUAACGCGUGAGUAACCUGCCUUUCAGUGGGGAAUAAUAUUCUGAAAAGAGUACUAAUACCGCAUAACGUAUAGAAGCCGCAUGACUUUUAUACCAAAGAUUUAUCGCUGAGAGAUGGACUCGCGUCCGAUUAGCCAGUUGGUGAGGUAACGGCUCACCAAAGCAACGAUCGGUAGCCGGACUGAGAGGUUGAACGGCCACAUUGGGACUGAGACACGGCCCAGACUCCUACGGGAGGCAGCAGUGGGGGAUAUUGUGCAAUGGGGGAAACCCUGACACAAGCAAUGCCGCGUGAAGGAUGAAGGUCUUCGGAUUGUAAACUUCUUUUGUCAAGGACGAUAAUGACGGUACUUGACGAAUAAGCUCCGGCUAACUACGUGCCAGCCGCUGC
rnacentral:rRNA from 1 species